rnacentral:lncRNA from 1 species
GGGCGGGUAAUCCAUAUUUUAUAAUUGAGGGAUCUAUCCCAACAAGUGGUAUCAGAUUCUGAUUACCAUGGACAAGUGGUAUCAGACGGUCCAAACAGAGGUGGUGUUGAUCGAGAUAGAAGAUAGAGAAGACAAGCACAAUCAAGGUAGAGAUCAAUCGGUUCGAUGAGAAGAGUAAUUUCUCCUUGUGGCAAGCAAGGGUGAAGGAUGUA